rnacentral:tRNA from 1 species
GCCCGAGUGGCGGAACAGGCAGACGCGCUACGUUCAGGGCGUAGUGGGCUUUACGCCCGUGCAGGUUCAAAUCCUGCCUCGGGCA